GACGAACGCUGGCGGCGUGCCUAAUACAUGCAAGUCGAGCGGAUCGGCGGAUGGGUGAGUAACGCGUGGGUAACCUGCCCUUCAGUCUGGGAUGCUAUUUGGAACCAGAUGCUAAUACCGGAUACUAAAGGCUGGACUUUGGAUGCAUUAGCUAGUUGGUAAGGUACCGGCUUACUAAGGCGAGGAUGCAUAGCCGGGUUGAGAGACUGAUCGGCCACAUUGGGACUGAGACACGGCCCAAACUCCUACGGGAGGCAGCAGUAGGGAAUCUUCCACAAUGGACGAAAGUCUGAUGGAGCAACGCCGCGUGAGUGAAGAAGGUUUUCGGAUCGUAAAGCUCUGUUGUUGGUGAAGCGGUAAUCAACCAGAAAGUCACGGCUAACUCCGUGCCAGCCGCCGCGGUAAUAC
rnacentral:rRNA from 1 species